rnacentral:misc_RNA from 1 species
UACGAGGGGGGCAAGCGUUGUUCGGAUUUACUGGGCGUAAAGGGCGUGCAGGCGGAUUGAUAAGUCCUCUGUGAAAACUGUCGGCUCAACCGGCAGCCUGCAGUCGAAACUGUCAAUCUUGAGUACAGAAGAGGAGAGCGGAAUCUCAGGUGUAGCGGUGAAAUGCGUAGAUAUCUGGGAGAACACCGGUGGCGAAGGCGGCUCUCUGGUCUGAUACUGACGCUGAUACGCGAAAGCUAGGGGAGCGAACGGG